rnacentral:lncRNA from 1 species
CCCGUCGUUACUCAAAACCGAGGUCCUUUAAACUGGAUGACUAGUUCCUUGGGAAGGAAGGAGACUCUCACUGGAUUAGUGAAUAACAAUGAUGACUAAGGGCAGAUCUCCAUACGACCUUUCUCUAGAAGGCUCCCUCCUCCAUGUUUAUAAGAUUCAUCUACCAAAGCUAAUGCUUGCCAUCAGAGAGCCUGGUUUAAUUAAACUGUGGUUCCAGAUAAAAUGGAGUAGGAAGCAGUAGAACCCUGCUGCAGCUGCAACAACUUUAACAAGGGAACUAAACCUCUGAAAUUACGUGCUCAAAGACAUCAGAAAAUGGUGGAAGCAGACACGACUAAAUGAAAUCAACCAGAGGCAAGAGAGCCCUACCCAAAUGAGUGGGCGGCCACUGGCUGCUUUCUGCCCUGGGGAUGUUUGCCAAUUCCAAGUGCAAGAUGAGGCUCGAGCUUGGCCUGAGUACAAGGAUGUUAGUGUGAGAAAAAACACUGCCAGAGUUUUGGGAGGUUGUGUGGAGCUGGGAUGACAAUUUGAAAACUUCCGGAGCCCUAAAUAGGCAAAGUCCCUUUCCCUCUGUGGUUCAUUUACUGAGUCAAGGGGCACUUGGAAGGUUAAGGAACUCCUCUAAAACAGCAGACUGAUAUACACUGUGGUCCUACAGGAGUGGGGAGACAGAGUCCACCUCCUGGAGGAGCAUCUGCUGCAAGCCUAGGGCCAGUCUCCUCCUUAAGAUAGUUACCAAAUUUAGAAAAACGUGGGAUCUGGAGACUAGAGGGCAAAAUUCAAAACUGUCAAAAGGCAUAUCACCUGCCCUGGGGGCUCUGUGGGUGGAAAUGAAAGAGGCAAGACCUGAGAGUCUAGCAGUCAAAAUCCACAGAAAGGUCUUCUCAACUCUGAAACAUUUGAAACAAGUGAUAGACUCAGUUUGACUAAAUCCCUAUCCUUGAUUAAAUCAUCAAAGAGCAAAUCCUUUCCGGAUCAAAAGGUAAUACGAACUUCAGUGUCUAUACAGUUUCAUUGUGUUCUUUUAUGCACAGUGUCUAGCAUAAACUAGAAAAUUAUAAGAUAUGAGAAGAGGAGGGGGGAGCCUUUUGAAGCAGAGAGAUGACCUACAUGUUGAAAUUAGCAGGCAACCUUUUUAAAUAAUUUUAUUAAUAAUGUUAAAAAAUAAGGGGAAAGGUGAACAAACUAUUAAAAUAUGGAGACUUUCAAUAGAGAAUUGAAAUUAUAGGAGUUCCCAUUGU